GGUCAAUGUUGAGUGGCGAAAGGGCUGGCUCCCCAGCUCACCUCCCUGCAUGCUCGGCAUCCCCAGCUGCCUCCCAUCACUGCUGUCCAGCUCCAGUAGUGGGGUGGUGGUUAGAGGGGCAGCUGACACUCAUGGUGUCCCAGGCCUGUGUUCCUUUGGUAAGUUCAGUGAAGACUGUUAUUGGCAUCCUGCAGCUGCUCUCAGAGGGAUUUGAUGGUUGGGAGUGCUGGAUCUGUGGUUAUGACCUGACAUUUCAAGCUGAGCCC